UGCGAGCGUACGGGUAUGACUAGCAAAGGAGAGAUGGUUCUAGUACCUGCUGCCUGUGGGAUUUAUUUUGUGCCAGGAAGGAGCUGAGGUGCUGACUACUGAAUAACACCUAAACUUUAUUUCUGAUGCUUCUCCCGAUAAUACAUUGGGGCAGGUGCAGGAAGCUACUACAGGAGAGGCGGUUUACUAACUUUUUCAAGGCUUGGGAUUGCACAAAGGAGCAGUAUAUUUUAGAAGCUACGGAGAAAGUUCAGAACAACAUGGUCGAAAGGUGCUGAUCUCAUGAGAGCAACUUACAUAUGCCAAAGGAAGGACAUGUUGUUUGAGGGAAAACCUACUUGUAAAUAUGUGCAAACUGCAAGGUAAAUAAUUUCUGUUUCCGGUAAAUUGAUGGAAUAUGCUCUCUGCAUUGGUGUGAUGGUUUAACCCCAGCCAGCAACUAAGCACCAAGCAGCCGCUUCCCCCUCCCUGCUCCCAGUGGGAUGGGGAGGAGGGGAAAAAAAAAAAAAGAGGUAAAGCUCGUGAGUGGAGAUAAGAACAGUUUAAUAACGAAAGUAAAAUAUACUGCCAACUAAGAAUAAUAUAAUAAUAAUAGUAAUGAA